CCUACGGGAGGCAGCAGUAGGGAAUAUUGCUCAAUGGGGGAAACCCUGAAGCAGCAACGCCGCGUGGAGGAUGAAGGUUUUCGGAUUGUAAACUCCUUUUGUUAGAGAAGAUAAUGACGGUAUCUAACGAAUAAGCACCGGCUAACUCCUUGCCAGCAGCCGCGGUCAUACGGAGGGUGCAAGCGUUACUCGGAAUCACUGGGCGUAAAGAGCGCGGAGGCGGGAUAGCAAGUCAGAUGUGAAAUCCUAUGGCUUAACCAUAGAACUGCAUUUGAAACUGUUAUUCUAGAGUAUGGGAGAGGAAGGUGGAAUUCUUGGUGUAGGGGUAAAAUCCGUAGAGAUAAAGAGGAAUACUCAUGGCGAAGGCGACCUGCUAGAACAUAACUGACGCUGAUGCGCGAAAGCGUGGGGAGCAAACAGGAUUAGAUACCCCAGUAGUC
rnacentral:rRNA from 1 species